UGCCUCUGGUCAUAAAUAGCAAGACACUGAUGGAGGAGCCAUCCAGCUCAUGCUGCGAUUGUUCCAGCUUUCCGUACUAAGAAAUCACUGACUGUCAGGAAACGGAAGUGGACUGUGUGCCAGAGAUGGAAGUUGUUAUUUGAAUGUGCCAUGUGUGGUUAAACUGAGCUGACUCCGAAUGUGCUUCAUGCAAUUAAACUGAUCAGAGCAGUUUAUCUUUGCUUGUCAACUCUAUAUUAGUUGACAGACGAUCGCCGAGGCUCUCUGUCGCAGCUGUGUGCCUGAUCAACAAGCCAAAUAUUUCGAGUCUGCUUGCUAACGUGUCUGAAGAGAAGAUAUCAGUGAUGGUGGACCUGCUGAUGGUGGACCAAUGCGGUGAGACAUACCUGUUCCAUAUAACCAUGUGAAAGUAGUAAAUCCUUUCACCUUGAUGAGGCACUGUGAUCAACGGCCUAGCGCAAGCAUGCCAUAGCUCCUUGUAUAAUGUGUCGCUAGAACUCCCUGCACAAAAGAUUCAUUAUGUGAACUAGGCAUAAAAUUCAAGGGCCUUUCACCUUAAUAUAUAAUGGCAGAU